CAAGCGCACCCCAUAUAUACGCUCAUCACUUCGUCCAAGACUAACAAUGGAAGAUAGAGAGGAGUUUCAUCUGAUACUUAUUUCAUGAGGGUAUCGCAAAGGGUUCCCAACAGAGUUCAUUGGCAUUCUGUCCACCUCCCACCGAUCUCAUCUCAAACCCUCCCAGAAAAGUAAAACAAAACAAGGGGAUAACAAGGAAAGAUUCUUUAUCAAGUCCCCCUUGUGAUCUCUUGAAGGUGGGCGGACUGCCAACUGAGCUCUGUUUGGCUCUCUCUGUGAAACCCUUCAUGAAUCAUUCUUCUUGAAUCAUUUCUUCAUGUUUUAUCAGCUGAUUUCUUCAAGCUUUUUGAUAGAGUGAAAACAAGGAAGUUACCACAACUUUGGUUCUUGUAGAUUUGCAGAAACAUCUCUUGGUGUUGCCGCUAAUUUCUGGUUUUUUUAGUUCCUUUAAAGAGGAGAUGAUAGACAUGUUCAUGAGUCCACUGGUCUCGGCGUUUGAUCUUUCUCUUCUCCUCAUUUUUGCUGUUUGGCAGGGCUUAAAUUUAGCUGUUGACACGUCUCGUGCAUGGGUGUGACCUGGAAAACAGAAGAAGAUGGAUUCAUAAAGUGAUGACCGUCGCUCUGUGAUCGAUCGUUUGAUCUGUCCACUCGAAACCCUAGUUCUUCUUCCUGCCCCAUCUCUUCAUUGUUCCUGGAAAACUAGAGUUAAAAUCCCUGGUUUCUUUCCCAGCAAACAAAUAUGUAUAUCAUAGUUUAUGUUUCCGUUUCUUUUUGUGAUCACAUGAUUCACAUC